CCUACGGGUGGCAGCAGUGAGGAAUAUUGGUCAAUGGCCGUAAGGCUGAACCAGCCAAGUCGCGUGAGGGAAGACUGCCCUAUGGGUUGUAAACCUCUUUUAUGCGGGGACAAAGGUGUCCACGUGUGCGUGUUUGCAGGUACCGCAUGAAUAAGGACCGGCUAAUUCCGUGCCAGCAGCCGCGGUAAUACGGAAGGUCCGGGCGUUAUCCGGAUUUAUUGGGUUUAAAGGGUGCGUAGGCGGGCCUUUAAGCGUGCCGUGAAAUUCUGGGGCUCAACCGUGUGAGUGCGGUGGAAACUGGGGGCCUGGAGUGCGCGGAAGGCAGGCGGAAUGCGUGGUGUAGCGGUGAAAUGCAUAGAUAUCACGAAGAACCCCGAUUGCGAAGGCAGCCUGCCGCCGCGUUACUGACGCUGAAGCACGAAAGCGCGGGUAUCGAACAGGAUUAGAUACCCCAGUAGUC
rnacentral:rRNA from 1 species